rnacentral:rRNA from 1 species
ACGGGAGCACCACAACGGUGGAGCUUGCGGUUUAAUUUGGAUUCAACGCCGGAAAUCUUACCGGGACCGACAGCAAUAUGAAGGCCAGGCUGAAGACUUUGCCGGAUUAGCUGAGAGGUGGUGCAUGGCCGUCGUCAGUUCGUACUGUGAAGCAUCCUGUUAAGUCAGGCAACGAGCGAGACCCACGCCCACAGUUGCCAGCGUACUCUCUGGAGUGACGGGUACACUGUGGGACCGCCGCUGCUAAAGCGGAGGAAGGAAUGGGCAACGGUAGGUCAGUAUGCCCCGAAUAUCCCGGGCUACACGCGAGCUACAAUGGUUGGUACAAUGGGUAUCUACCCCGAAAGGGGACGGGAAUCUCCUAAAACCAAUCUUAGUUCGGAUUGAGGGCUGCAACUCGCCCUCAUGAAGCUGGAAUCCGUAGUAAUCGCGUUUCAACAGAACGCGGUGAAUACGUCCCUGCUCCUU